GCAGUGUUGGUUCAGUGGUAAAAUUCUCGCCUUCCAUGUGGGAGACCUGGGCUCGAUUCCCAGUCAGUGCA
rnacentral:tRNA from 1 species